rnacentral:rRNA from 1 species
UUAGGAAUCUUUCACAAUGGGCGAAAGCCUGAUGGAGCGACGCCGCGUGAGGGAUGAAGGCCUUAGGGUUGUAAACCUCUAAAAGAGGGACGAUAAUGACGGUACCUCUUGAAUAGCACCGGCUAACUCCGUGCCAGCAGCCGCGGUAAUACGGAGGGUGCAAGCGUUAUCCGGAAUCACUGGGCGUAAAGGGCGCGUAGGCGGUCUGUUAAGUCCGAUGUUAAAUCCCGGGGCUCAACCCCGGAUAAGCGUUGGAUACUGGCAGGCUAGACGGUUGGAGAGGCGAGUGGAAUUACCAGUGUAGCGGUGGAAUGCGUAGAUACUGGUAGGAACACCCAUUGCGAAGGCAGCUCGCUGGACAACACGUGACGCUGAGGCGCGAAAGUGUGGGGAGCAAACC